UACGGAGGGUGCAAGCGUUGUCCGGAUUUAUUGGGUUUAAAGGGUGCGUAGGCGGCUUAUUAAGUCAGGGGUGAAAGACUAUUGCUUAACAAUGGCAGUGCCUUUGAUACUGAUGAGCUUGAGUAUAGAUGAGGCCGGCGGAAUGGGUGGUGUAGCGGUGAAAUGCAUAGAUACCAUCCAGAACACCGAUUGCGAAGGCAGCCGGCUAAACUACAACUGACGCUGAGGCACGAAAGCGUGGGGAUCGAACAGG
rnacentral:rRNA from 1 species